AUGACGUCAUUCACGUAGAUUACUGAUUGGCAGCGCUAACUCGAAAUUUCGAGUUGCUUUUCUCAAAAUUUUGAGUUAAUAUGUCGAAAUUUCGAGAUAAUAACUCGAAAUUUCGAGAAAAUAACUCGGAAUUUUGAGUUAUGGAUCCUUUUUUUUUUUUUUAGUGGCGGAAACGGGCUUCCAUACUUUAAUGAGCAGAGUUCAGUGAUUCGCGUUACUCGGCUUGCGUUGCUUCAUUUAUGGGAGGAGCUGAAAAUGAUGACGUCCGAAGCCUCGCUGCCCGGCUGUACCACGUGACUGGUUCAGGAAGUGGUUCAAACUUUGCCGCGAGCUAUGACAGCGAUAUAAACCCCGCAGACUUCAUUCAAAAUGUGGGUGUUUGAUGGAGAGUUGUGGUUAGUGAGAGUUUGGAGACAGUUUGGAGGUUUAUGAGAGUGAGGAGAGAAAGUCAGGAGAGAAUGGAGCCAGCUAAGAAGAGGAGGAUGUCCUCCCCUGUGUGGGAACAUUUGAUCUUAUUCCUCCCAACAAGGUGAAGUGUUUGCUAUGUGCCAGGGAGCUGGGAUAUAACAACAACACCUCAUCCAUGCUUAGGCACUACAGAGCUUUGCAUGAGAAUAAGGGGGACACCGAUUGUGGAGCAAGACCAGGAGAACAAUCUCAAAUAGAUGAAGACCUGGUUAGCAUGGUGAUUGAGGACUCCCAGCCAUUUAGCAUUGUGGAGGACAAAGGAUUUAAAAGAUUUGUUAAAUCAUUA
ensembl:lncRNA